rnacentral:rRNA from 1 species
CGGGUGAGUAAUACAUCGGAACGUGUCUUCUAGUGGGGGAUAACUGCCCGAAAGGGCAGCUAAUACCGCAUGAGACCUGAGGGUGAAAGCGGGGGAUCGCAAGACCUCGCGCUGGAAGAGCGGCCGAUGUCCGAUUAGCUAGUUGGUGAGGUAAAGGCUCACCAAGGCGACGAUCGGUAGCUGGUCUGAGGGGACGACCAGCCACACUGGGACUGAGACACGGCCCAG